rnacentral:rRNA from 1 species
UACGUAGGGUGCAAGCGUUAAUCGGAAUUACUGGCGUAAAGCGUGCGCAGGCGGUUAUGUAAGACAGAUGUGAAAUGCCCGGGCUUAACCUGGGAACUGCAUUUGUGACUGCAUGGCUAGAGUUGGCAGAGGGGGUAGAAUUCCACGUGUAGCAGUGAAAUGCGUAGAUAUGUGGAGGAACACCGAUGGCGAAGGCAGCCCCUGGGUCAAGACUGACGCUCAUGCACGAAAGCGUGGGGAGCAAACAGG